rnacentral:rRNA from 1 species
AGUGAACGCUGGCGGUAGGCCUAACACAUGCAAGUCGAACGGCAGCACAGUAAGAGCUUGCUCUUACGGGUGGCGAGUGGCGGACGGGUGAGGAAUACAUCGGAAUCUACUUUUUCGGGGGGGAUAACGUAGGGAAACUUACGCUAAUACCGCAUACGACCUACGGGUGAGAGCAGGGGAUCUUCGGACCUUGCGCGAUUGAAUGAGCCGAUGUCGGAUUAGCUAGUUGGCGGGGUAAAGGCCCACCAAGGCGACGAUCCGUAGCUGGUCUGAGAGGAUGAUCAGCCACACUGGAACUGAGACACGGUCCAGACUCCUACGGGAGGCAGCAGUGGGGAAUAUUGGACAAUGGGCGCAAGCCUGAUCCAGCCAUACCGCGUGGGUGAAGAAGGCCUUCGGGUUGUAAAGCCCUUUUGUUGGGAAAGAAAAGCAGCAGGUUAAUACCCCGCUGUUCUGACGGUACCCAAAGAAUAAGCACCGGCUAACUUCGUG